rnacentral:rRNA from 1 species
UUUGAUCCUGGCUCAGAUUGAACGCUGGCGGCAGGCCUAACACAUGCAAGUCGAGCGGCAGCACGGGAAGCUUGCUUCCUGGUGGCGAGCGGCGGACGGGUGAGUAAUGCAUAGGAAUCUGCCCGGUAGUGGGGGAUAACCUGGGGAAACCCAGGCUAAUACCGCAUACGCCCUACGGGGGAAAGCAGGGGCUCUUCGGACCUUGCGCUAUCGGAUGAGCCUAUGUCGGAUUAGCUGGUUGGUGAGGUAAUGGCUCACCAAGGCGACGAUCCGUAGCUGGUCUGAGAGGAUGAUCAGCCACAUCGGGACUGAGACACGGCCCGAACUCCUACGGGAGGCAGCAGUGGGGAAUAUUGGACAAUGGGCGCAAGCCUGAUCCAGCCAUGCCGCGUGUGUGAAGAAGGCCCUCGGGUUGUAAAGCACUUUCAGUGGGGAAGAAAGCCUGGUGGUUAAUACCCGUCAGGAAGGACAUCACCCACAGAAGAAGCACCGGCUAACUCCGUGCCAGCAGCCGCGGUAAUACGGAGGGUGCGAGCGUUAAUCGGAAUUACUGGGCGUAAAGCGCGCGUAGGUGGCUUGAUAAGCCGGUUGUGAAAGCCCCGGGCUCAACCUGGGAACGGCAUCCGGAACUGUCAGGCUAGAGUGCAGGAGAGGAAGGUAGAAUUCCCGGUGUAGCGGUGAAAUGCGUAGAGAUCGGGAGGAAUACCAGUGGCGAAGGCGGCCUUCUGGACUGACACUGACACUGAGGUGCGAAAGCGUGGGUAGCAAACAGGAUUAGAUACCCUGGUAGUCCACGCCGUAAACGAUGUCGACUAGCCGUUGGGUCCUUCGCGGACUUUGUGGCGCAGUUAACGCGAUAAGUCGACCGCCUGGGGAGUACG